rnacentral:rRNA from 1 species
GACGAACGCUGGCGGCGUGCUUAACACAUGCAAGUCGAACGCUGAAGCUCAGCUUGCUGGGUGGAUGAGUGGCGAACGGGUGAGUAACACGUGAGUAACCUGCCCUCUUCUUUGGGAUAACGCCCGGAAACGGGUGCUAAUACUGGAUAUUCACUGAUUCUCGCAUGGGGGUUGGUGGAAAGGUUUUUUCUGGUGGGGGAUGGGCUCGCGGCCUAUCAGCUUGUUGGUGGGGUGAUGGCCUACCAAGGCUUUGACGGGUAGCCGGCCUGGGAGGGUGACCGGUCACAUUGGGACUGAGAUACGGCCCAGACUCCUACGGGAGGCAGCAGGGGGGAAUAUUGCACAAUGGGCGAAAGCCUGAUGCAGCGACGCCGCGUGAGGGAUGGAGGCCUUCGGGUUGUAAACCUCUUUCGCUCAUGGUCAAGCCGCAGCUUUGGGUUGUGGUGAGGGUAGUGGGUAAAGAAGCGCCGGCUAACUACGUG